rnacentral:tRNA from 1 species
UCUAAGGAAAAGCAUAGGGUGGACAUCAUGUGGAUGUCGCCUCCCUCGAAUCCCUUUCAUUUGGACAAUUAUAGAGUUACAGGCGCGUAGCUCAGUUGGUUAGAGCGCACGACUGAUAAUCGUGAGGUCGGCAGUUCAAAUCUGCCCGUGCCUACCAUCUAUUAUUCGCCUGUGUGCACCCCUUUGUUGUGGUUUGCGCCGGAUUCUAGUCCGAAUGUUAAGUGACAUCUCAUUUGUCAUAUAUCCUCAAGGCAAUGCCUUGCUGUGAUGUAUGUGCUGUUUGACAAAGUAAGUGAAGACAUCCAAGACCGCGGGAUUUAUCUCGGGGUGCCAUUCUUGGCCACCUCGUGAUGAUCUCGCAAUCAAGCUUGGGUUCGUAGGUAGAUGUGAAUGUGUGAGUUUACUCGGCAUUUGCCUUUACGUA